rnacentral:lncRNA from 1 species
CUGCAUCCUCAUGGAUACUAAUCAGAUUCAUUUCUGCUGCACCACAAUGGAAACUCCGACUUUCCCUGGUUUUAUGUGAGCUCCGUAAAUUGUUCGCCUUUGUCUAUCUGAGUGGUUCUCUCCCCGGAUUUGAGUGGUUUCCUUAUAUCUAAAUGCUGACCAGGACUCGAGGGUUGCUCUCUGAAGAUCUUUGGGGUUCUUUUCAUGCAUUCCUCUCCUUUUCUAUAAUUUGCUCUGUGAACUCAAGCCAGUUGGGCUCUGUGAACUCCCAAUUUUGUCUCCUUAACUCAGGAAGACUGUUGGGUUCCUCCUGUCUGUGUUCUGGCCUGAAUUUUUUCUCUGGGCAGUAAACUGGGGAAGGUUUAUUUUUAUUUUAUUUUAUUUUAUUUUGUUUUAUUUUAUUUUUGCUUUUUAGGGCUGCACCCACAGCAUACGGAAGUUCCCAGGCUAGGGAUCGAAUAAGAGCUGCAGCUGCUGGCCUACACCACAGCCACAGCAACCGGGAUCUGAGCCACACCUGUGACCUACACCACAGCUCAUGAGAACACCGGAUCCCUAACCCACUGAGCAAGGCCAGGGAUGGAUCCUGCAUCCUCGUGGAUAUGAGUCGGAUUCAUUUCAGCUGCACCACAACGGGAACUCUCAAGCUGGGGAAGUUUUAGAGCUCACCUCAUUUGUUUCCCAUAUCUUAGGAAGCACUGUUCUGUGCAUCCAGAGAGCCAAUAUCUAAAAUCUGUUUUUCCCUCAUGUAUUUUAUGUCUAGUAUCUGAGUUAUUUCAGGCAGGAGGCUAAAUCUGGUCCCUGUUACUCCAUCUUGAUCAGAAGCAGAAGUCCCUGUCUUGACUUUUAUAGUGAUUGCUUCCUUAUGCUACUUUGUAGUUUUAUCACCCACGGCUACAUCUCUAGAAACUGCAGUUUAGUCUUGCCCAUAAAAAAGUUAUUAGGCGUCUUUUAAGUCUCUUUUAAUAUACACAAUCCUCUUCAUCCUUUUCUUUUCAUUUUAUCCGUUGUAGAUAAACGGUCCAAACUGUACUGUUUGACUGUAGUUUCACACACUCUGGCUUUUGCUGAUCAUAUUUUUGGUGCAGUUCAACACAUUGCUCUCACCUUUUAUAUUUCCUGCAAAUGGGCAGCCAGAUCCAGAGGUUCGCUCAGAUUUGGGUUCAAUUCCUCUGACAUGACUUCACCAGGAGGUACAGAAUGUCCGGUUGCUUCUCUCUUUGUGAUGUUAGCAUUCGUGCUUAACGCCUAAAUGUAUUAAUUCAUUGAGGAUGGAAAAAUGGAGGCAUUCUAAUUCGUUAAUUUCUUUUUCAUUUAUUAGGUGGAGUACCUUUAUAAAGAGACACUUAUCCUCAUUACUAUUUGAUUACCCAUGGUACAGUUUAUGUGGGAAGGCAGAAUAAAUGAUUCAUUUAAGAUAACAAAUUGGAUUCAUAUCGUUCUCUCAAGAUGACCCAUUAGUUGUUAAAAAAUCAUUUUUAAUAUCAUUAUUAACUCAUUGAUUGAUGGGUUUUAAUCAAUUGCAAUUAUACUUUUGAAGCUUGAAUUUUUUUGUCUCUGUCUGGGGUCAGGGGGCACCUCUUCAACUUGGCUCUGAGUCUUUUUUAACACCUUAGUAGCUAGAUGACUUCCUGUCUAUCUAGUAUGCCAAGAUAUUCCAGGCUCAUCUUGUACAUUUCCUGCCCCAUACCAGGAACGGCAACUUCCCCAAGAAGUCUUUUCAUAGAAAAUGGUAAUUCAAACAAUAUCAAAGCUAGGGAUGGUCAUUGCUGUUAGGUUGGUUGUUAUUUUCAGGUUUCUCUAGUGAACAGAGCUAAGACCACAUGUGUGUGUGUAUUUUUGCUUUUAGAAGAGAAAGUAUCUCAUGAAUUAACAUUGGCACUUCUAAUUCAUAAUGGCAGAGUCGUAAAAUUCAAAAUCUUCUACAUUAUAUCUUCAUGUCCUCUUUCUACAAUAAGAAUCUUGAUUCUCACGAACAGAAGAGAUGAUAGAAAUGCAAUAUUCCCAAAUUACCCGUAGACUCUCUCCUUCACUCACAGAAGACACCUCAGAAUAAUAGUUGCAAUACUACUAACCACCAGUGUUAUUACUAAUAGUUGUAAUACUACUAACCACCAGUGUUAUUACUAAAAAAAAUAUAUUUUUUUUGCGUAUCGUAUCCCCAUUCUACUCCCAUUUAAAAAUAAACUGUAUCUACUUGUUUGCAUUUCAGCCAUUUGUAUCUCUCCUUUUUAGGUCUUAUUUAGUAAAGAUCUAAAAACUGUUUAUUAAUUAUCCCCAGUCAUUAUGUUAAAUGUUUCUUUGUCAUUUUGUUUGGCUGAAGCUCAAUUUUUGGUAUAUUUCUCAAGAAGUUCUCAUGUGAACAAUAUUCCCAAUUUUUUUGUGUGUUAAUAACAGUUUAUGCCUUUUGUACUUGAAUGCUAGUUUUACUGUCUAUAGAAUCUUUGGCUCAUAUUUUCCCUCUUUGAGUAUCUUAAAAAUAUUUUCCAUUUGCUUCUGGAGAAAUGUUUCUUGAUAAUCUAAUUUUCUUCCUCUUAUAACUCAUCUACUAUUUUGACUAGAUAUCCAAAGUGUUUUUUUCUUUAAAGUUCAAUAAUUUCAUUAGAAUAUAUGGGACAUUCUGGGUUGAUAAUCAUAGGUACAUGAAGUGUUCUUUUAAAAUGUAGUUUCAGAGUUCCCAUUGUGGUUCAGAAGUAAUGAACCCAACUAGUAUCCACGAGGUCCUGGCUUCGAUCCCUGGCCUCACUCAGUGGGUUAAGGAUCCAGCAUUGCCGUGAGCACUGGUGUAGGUUGCAGACAUGGCUUGAAUCCUGUGUUGCUAUGGCUGUGGUAUAGGCCAGCAGCUAUGGCUCCAAUUCAACCCCUAACCUAAGAAUUUCUGAAAUAUGCUUUUGGUGUGGCCCUAAAAAGACAAUAAAAUACAAAGUAAUUUCAAAACUUUUUUUUUUAAUUUCAAGAAAGUUUUCUUGAAUUCUGUGUUUUGAUAUUUAUUCUGUUCCCUUGUUUUAAUUUUCUUCUUCAGAGAUUCCUAGUAUCCAUAUAUUGAAUCUUUUUUUCCUAUAUUCAGUAUUUGUUACCUUCUGUCUAAUUUUUUCAUUGCUUCUGUAAGUUUUUUUAUAGACUUUAUUCUUUAGAGUAUUUUUAAGUUCAUAGCAACUUGUUUGAGAUCACUUAUUUUUGUCUCUAAGAUUCAUACUGAAUCUUAUUUAAAACAUCUAAGUAAAUAGAAAGACACUUUAAUAAUUUUUCAAAGAUAGUUUUGUUGGUUGUAAGAUUCUUGAUUGACAGUUUUUUUCUUUCCGAGCAGUUUGGAUAUAUCAUCUCACUACCUCUGUCCCCUCGUUUCUGAGAAGUCAGCUGUUAGUCUUAUUGGGUCCCCUUAUAUGUGAUGACUCAUUUGUCUGUUGCUACUUUCUAGAUUUUAUUUUUAGGAGUUCCCGUCAUGGCUCAGUUUUUAAUGAACCCAACUAGCAUCCAUGAGGAUGCGGGUUUGAUCCCUGGCCUCGAUCAGUGGGUUAAGGAUCUGGCGUUGCCAUGAGCUGUGGUGUGGGUUGCAGAUGAGGCUCCGAUCUUGUGUUUCUAUGGCUCUGGCAUUGGCUGGCGGUUACAGCUCCAAUUUGACCCCUAGCCUGGGAACCUCCAUAUGCUGUGGGUGCAGCCUUAAAGAGACAAAAAGACACACAAAAAAAGAUUUUACUUUUGGAUUUGACCUUCAACAUCUUUAUUAUGGUGUGUCUGGUUGUGGUGUGUGUGUGUGUGUGUGUAUUUAUUCUAUUUGGAGUUUAUUGAGUGUUGUCGUCAGCCUAGGCUGCUGUAACAAAACAACAUAAACUGGGUGGCUUAAACAACAGAAAUUUAUAUUCUUAUAGUUAAAGAGGCUACAAGUCCAAGGUCAAGGUGCUGGGGAGAGCUGUCUUACCGGCUUGUAGAUGGCUGCUUUCUUGCUGUGCCCUCAUGUGGGGAGCUGGGAGGGGGAGGAAAAUGAGAGCAUAAGUGAGCUCUGGUCUUUCUUCCUCUUCUUAUAAAGGCACUAAUUCUAUCAUGGGGGAUCCAAGUUCAUGAUCUUAUCUAAACCUAGUUACCUCCCAAAGACCUUACUUCUAAAUUCCAUCACACUGGGGGGUAGGACUAAAAGAUAUGAAAUUUUUUUUGCUUUUUUUUUUUUUUUUUAGGUCUGCACCCAUGGCAUAUGGAGGUUCUCAGGCUAGGGGUUGAAUUGGAGCUAUACCUGCCAGCCUACACCACAGUCACAGCAAUGCAGGAUCUGCAAGAUAUGAAUUUUGAGAGGACAUAAUAAACAUUCAGUCCACAAUAGAUCUCAUGCUUCCAAAUUUAAUUGCAAGAAAAUGUCUCCCAACCUCACAUUCUUUUUUCUCUUGGCUGGCAUGUGGAAGUUCCAAGGCCAGGGACCGAACCUGUGCCAUAGCUGUGACCCAAGCCACAACAAUGACAACCCUGAAUGAUUGGGGAACUCCAUACUGUCUUUUUGAUAAUAGCCAUCCUGAUAGGUGUGAGGUGAUAUCUCAUUGUGAUUUUGGUUUGCAUUUCCCUGAUGGUUAGCCAUGUUGAGCAUCUUCUCAUGUGUUCGUUCACCAUCUUAUGUCUUUCUUAUGUCUUCUUUGGAAAAAAAUGUUUAUUCGGGUCUACUCCCCAUUUUCCAAUUGGGUUGUUUCCUUUUUUUUUUUUUUUUUUUUGUCUUUUCCAGGGCCGCACCUGUGGCAUAUAGAGGUUCCAGGCUAGGCUAGGUUCCUGCUGGCCUACAUCACAGCCACAGCAACACCAGAUCCUUAACCCACUGAGCAAGGGCAGGGAUCGAACCCACAACCUCAUGGUUCCUAGUCGGAUUUGCUAACUGCUGAGCCAUGACGGAACUCCGGGUUGUUUCCUUUUUUGAUGUUGAGCUAUAUGUCUUCUUUAUACAUUUUGGACAUUAACCCCUUAUCAGAUAUAUUGUUUUCAAAUUUUAAAAAAUUAAUGUUUCUUCUAUUGAUGGACAUUUAGAUUUGUUCUUUUUUUUCUGUAGUAAACAACGUUAUAGUGAGUAAUCUUGUGUAUUUUCUCUUUCUUCAUAUAUAAUUGUAAUAUAUGUAAUACAUAGGUGUAUAUAUUUUACUUAUAAAAUAUUGAUACAUGAUAUAUAAUGUAUAUUGAAAAUUAUUUUGAAGUUGUACACAGGGCAAUUUCUGGAGCCACUGAUCAGAAUUUUUCUGUUUUUACUUGUAAUGGACAAUACUUGUCUUCCAGAAAAAUUAUUACCCAUUUAUUUCCUGCUCAUUUCCUUUUUUCCCCAAAGGUUUUUAUCUACCAUUACAACAAUUUUUACAGAAACAUUAAGGGGAGUUCCCUGGUGGUUUAAUAGUUAGGAUUCAGCACUUUCACCGUUGUGGCAGGAGUUUAGUCCCUAGUCUGGGAACUGAGAUCCCACAUCAAGCUGCUGCAUGUUGGGGCAAACCCCUCCCCACCAAAAAAACACCCCCCAAAACAAAACAAAAACAAAAAA